UAAAAGAGGAAAUAAAUUAUUUUAUUGAUUCAUAGUGAAAUGUUUACAUAAAAUUUACCGCAAUGUAAAUUACAUUGAGAACUGACAAUAAUAUUACAGCAUUGAAUUACACAAAUUCUUGCACAUGACUACUAAGAAUCACACGGUUUUCCCUUUGCUCUUCCACUCCACAAAAUUAGGGUCAAAUCCCCACUCUUUUCCUCUCAAUUACAGCUUGCACAACAAAUCACAUCCCUCACUCAUACUUAUCCCCUCAUCAUACUCACACGGAUUCUUUCUCAAGUCCUCAAAAAUAACUUCAAAUUUCACAUGCUUUCCACCUUCAAACACUUAUAAUUAACCCUAAAAAUCACUAUAAAACCUAGCCAUCAUUCGUGCAAUUCCUCAACAGCCAAAAAAACAUAUAGAACUCAUAGUCACUAAUUUCCUUGAGCAUCCAAUAUGCAGCCACCUUCAAGUUCCCCUUCACUAAAGCUCUUUUAUAGCCAUUAGAGUUUCACCUUGAAGCUCUAAUUGAGCUGAGCUAAGCAACAUCUCAGUAGAAGCAAUAUACAGACAUAUUCAGAAGAAGCAGAAAGAAGGAGAAAAGGUACACAAGAGUGGAAAGAAGAAAAAUAAGUAGAAAGAAUGAGAAGAAUACACAUGAGUGGAAAAAAAGCAUUACCUGAGAUAUCAAGCUUGUCGGAAGUUGGAGCUCCUCACCGGAAAAUUUCCAGCUUCGAUUUGGUAUCUCUGUUACCUUUUGUGGUUUUCUCUUCAUGUUUUCUUGUUGGCAUGUGUGGUAUAACCAUUUUUCAUAGGAUAAUUUUUAGUAACUUUUAUUUGUUUGUAUGGAUUGAAUAGUUGGGGGAGGGGUUUACGGUUUAUACGGAUUUGCUUUGAUUUAGUAUGAUUAAUAUUUUGGUUUUUUAUUUUUGAUCUUAUAUUCGUGUUUAGAGUGUAAAGUUAGGUGGGGUUGGUGUUAGGAUUUUGUUGAUUCGAGUGGGUUUUGUGCAUUUAUAGUUUUAAUACUUAAGAACACUCAAAGUGUUAUUGCGUACUCUUGAUGAACAUUCAUAAGAAUCUAGGAAAAAGGGGUGUUAGAUCUUAUAGAGAGAAAAAUUGUGAGUGUUUAUUAUUUUCAGAGACAGUAGAGGGAAGAGAGAGGGAGAGGGAGAAAUAUCUAUAUAAAGACUUGAUAGAUAUCAAGUUAAUUUUCAAAACAAAAAAAUUUCAUCAUUCCUUCAUCGAAUUCAGAACCAUUUCAUAAUCAAAUCAAUUUCAUACAAAUGCGAAUCAAACACUUGAUCAACAUCAAAUAUUUUGCGAACUUAAUCAAGAACACUUCAAAAACUUCUUUCA
rnacentral:lncRNA from 1 species